rnacentral:rRNA from 1 species
UUAUAUAUACAACUUUCAGCAACGGAUCUCUUGGCUCUCGCAUCGAUGAAGAACGCAGCGAAAUGCGAUAAGUAAUGUGAAUUGCAGAAUUCAGUGAAUCAUCGAAUCUUUGAACGCACCUUGCACUCCUUGGUAUUCCGAGGAGUAUGCCUGUUUGAGUGUCAUGGUAUUCUCAAUUCUAAUAACUUUUGUUAUUCGGAAUUGGACUUGGAGGUUUUUUGCCGGUGCUUCGGCUUUCCGGCUCCUCUUAAAUGCAUUAGUGUGAAUCAAGUCAACACGUUACUCAGUGUGAUAAUUAUCUACGCUGUGUUCAAUUGUUGACUUUAUAAGUGUUCAUGCUUAUAACCCGUCUGUUGACUCAGACACUUAUACUUUGAAAUCUGACCUCAAA